rnacentral:rRNA from 1 species
GUAACAAGGUCUCCGUAGGUGAACCUGCGGAGGGAUCAUUACACAAUAAACAUAUGAAGGCUGCACCGCCAACAGGCGGCAAGGCUGGAGUAUUUUAUUACCCUUGUCUUUUGCGCACUUGUUGUUUCCUGGGCGGGUUCGCCCGCCUCCAGGACCACAUGAUAAACCUUUUUUAUGCAGUUGCAAUCAGCGUCAGUACAACAAAUGUAAAUCAUUUACAACUUUCAACAACGGAUCUCUUGGUUCUGGCAUCGAUGAAGAACGCAGCGAAAUGCGAUACGUAGUGUGAAUUGCAGAAUUCAGUGAAUCAUCGAAUCUUUGAACGCACAUUGCGCCCUUUGGUAUUCCAAAGGGCAUGCCUGUUCGAGCGUCAUUUGUACCCUCAAGCUUUGCUUGGUGUUGGGCGUUUUUUGUCUUUGGUUUUGUCCAAAGACUCGCCUUAAAACGAUUGGCAGCCGGCCUACUGGUUUCGCAGCGCAGCACAUUUUUGCGCUUGCAAUCAGCAAAAGAGGACGGCACUCCAUCAAGACUCUAUAUCACUUUUGACCUCGGAUCAGGUAGGGAUACCCGCUGAACUUAAGCAUAUCAUA